AGUUUGAUCUUGGCUCAGGACAAACGCUGGCGGUGUGCCUAACACGUGCAUGUCGAACGGAGUUCAAUCCUUCGGGGUUGGACUUAGUGGCGGACGGGUGAGUAACGCGUGAGCAAUCUGCCCUUCAGAGGGGGACAACAGCUGGAAACGGCUGCUAAUACCGCAUAACGUACCGUGGAGGCAUCUCUGUGGUACCAAAGAUUUAUCGCUGAAGGAUGAGCUCGCGUCUGAUUAGAUAGUUGGCGGGGUAACGGCCCACCAAGUCGACGAUCAGUAGCCGGACUGAGAGGUUGAUCGGCCACAUUGGGACUGAGAUACGGCCCAGACUCCUACGGGAGGCAGCAGUGGGGAAUAUUGGGCAAUGGGGGCAACCCUGACCCAGCAACGCCGCGUGAAGGAAGAAGGCCUUCGGGUUGUAAACUUCUUUUAUGAGGGACGAACUUUGACGGUACCUCUUGAAUAAGCAACGGCUAACUACGUGCCAGCAGCCGCGGUAAUACGUAGGUUGCAAGCGUUGUCCGGAUUUACUGGGUGUAAAGGGCGUGUAGGCGGAGAUGCAAGUUGGGAGUGAAAUCCCGGGGCUCAACCCCGGAACUGCUUUCAAAACUGUAUCCCUUGAGUGUCGGAGAGGCAAGCGGAAUUCCUAGUGUAGCGGUGAAAUGCGUAGAUAUUAGGAGGAACACCAGUGGCGAAGGCGGCUUGCUGGACGAUAACUGACGCUGAGGCGCGAAAGCGUGGGGAGCAAACAGGAUUAGAUACCCUGGUAGUCCACGCUGUAAACGAUGAAUACUAUGUGUGGGAGGAUUGACCCCUUCCGUGCCGCAGUUAACACAAUAAGUAUUCCACUUGGGGAGUACGACCGCAAGGUUGAAACUAAAAGGAAUUGACGGGGGCCCGCACAAGCAGUGGAUUAUGUGGUUUAAUUCGGCGCAACGCGAAGAACCUUAUCAGGGUUUGACAUCCGACUAAGGAAGUAGAGAUACAUUAGGUGCCCUUCGUGGAAAGUCGAGCCAGGUGGUGCAUGGUUGUCGUCAGCUCGUGUCGUGAGAUGUUGGGUUAAGUCCCGCAACGAGCGCAACCCUUAUUGUUAGUUGGUAGGCAAGUGCACUCUAGCAAGAUUGCCGUUGACAAAAUGGAGGAAGGUGGGGAUGACGUCAAAUCAUCAUGCCCUUUAUGACCUGGGCUACACACGUAGUACAAUGGUGGUUAACAAAGGGGAGUGAAGGAGCGAUCCGGAGCAAAUCUCAAAAAGCCGUCUCAGUUCAGAUCGCAGGAUGCAACUCGCCUGCAUGAAGUCGGAAUCGCUAGUAAUCGCAGGUCAGCAUACUGCGGUGAACAAGAUCCCGGCCCUUGUACUCACCGCCCGUCA
rnacentral:rRNA from 1 species